rnacentral:rRNA from 1 species
AGUGAACGCUGGCGGCGUGCUUAACACAUGCAAGUCGAACGAGAACGGGCUAUAGCUUGCUAUAGUUGUCAGCUAAGUGGCGCACGGGUGAGUAAUGUAUAGGUAAUAUGCCUCUUACUAAGGGAUAACAAAUGGAAACGUUUGCUAAUACCUUAUACUCCUUAUUAACAGAAGUUAAUAAGGGAAAGAUUUAUUGGUAAGAGAUUAGCCUGUAUUGUAUCAGUUAGUUGGUGGGGUAAUGGCCUACCAAGACUAUGACACAUAACUGGUUUGAGAGGAUGAGCAGUCACACUGGAACUGAGACACGGUCCAGACUCCUACGGGAGGCAGCAGUGGGGAAUAUUGCACAAUGGACGAAAGUCUGAUGCAGCAACGCCGCGUGGAGGAUGACACAUUUCGGUGCGUAAACUCCUUUUAUAUGAGAAGAUAAUGACGGUAUUAUAUGAAUAAGCACCGGCUAACUCCGUGCCAGCCGCCGCGGUAA